rnacentral:rRNA from 1 species
GAUGAACGCUAGCGACAGGCUUAACACAUGCAAGUCGAGGGGCAGCGGGGGCGGAAGCUUGCUUUCGCCCGCCGGCGACCGGCGCACGGGUGAGUAACACGUAUGCAACCUGGCCGCCACAGGGGGAUAACCCGCGGAAACGCGGCCUAAUACCCCGUGACGCCACCGGAGGGCAUCCUCCGGUGGCCAAAGGAGCGAUCCGGUGGCGGAUGGGCAUGCGGCGCAUUAGCUAGACGGCGGGGUGACGGCCCACCGUGGCGACGAUGCGUAGGGGUUCUGAGAGGAAGGCCCGCCACACUGGGACUGAGACACGGCCCAG